GGAUGCUACAGGGCACAGUGAUUUUAGGUUAAAACUUUUAAGCAAACUAGAAAUAGAAGUAUGUUUACAUUAUGCUAGUAAAUUAUAAAAUACAAAAUUAACACAUCCCACAAAAGUCAGCUUUAUUUCCUACAUAAAAUUACAUGCACAAUGUACACAGAUGUUACAGAUCAUUUGAGCUGUCUUUGGAUGUCAUUGAUACAUCAAACAACUCUAUACAAAACUUGUUGUGUUUGACUGAACAUUUUGUGUUUCACAAAAAAUAAAUUUUCUGGAAGAUACAACUUUUGAACUAAUUAAGAAAAUAAAAUAACAGAGAAAAACUGUAACAUCAAAACAAACCACCACAAUAAAAUCACAACUUUUUUCUCCAUUAAACCUCUAGAAAUUUAAAUUGACUAUAAAAGCAAAGUCAACCACUAAAAUCCAACAAACAAACAAAUAAAAAAAAGGAUAAUAAUAUAAUCUUGUUAUUAUGCCUUUUUCCAGGGGUGGAAUAUAUAAUUGGCUAUUUGGUUUCAACAUGAAGAUAUUGUGCCACAAGUAAAAGCUGUAACUACAGCUGUCACAAACAGGUAUUAACAGCGUUUAUCUUAAAGCUAAAUAACACAUCAGACGUAAAUAAUUAUACAGAUAUACCUGGAUUACAUAUUACUCUUUUGUCAAUAUUUGAUAUAUAAGCUGAAAAAGCAUAAAUGAAAACUGAAAAUCUGCAACCAAUAGUAACCAAACAAUAUGAAGUAUUCAAAUGCAAGAAAAUACAUUUGAUUACCUCACACCAUUUACAUUUUCUGCUAAUGUUAGAAGUUUACAUUUUGUCUGGAAAGCAUUUAUACUGACACUUCAGUUUAAAACAGAUUAAUUUCACUGUCAGUGCAGUUCCAUGUUUCAAUUUUGCAAUACAUGCAGGCAGGGCUGGACUGGGACAAAAAAUCGGCCCGGGCAUUUUGACUAGAGACCGGCCCACCAGGUAUUAUAGGAAAAACCAUAAAGCCUUUGAAUGAAAACAAACGCUGUUGUCACAGUGAUGUACACUGUCUUGUUGAUAUAUAUGUAUCAGUCUAAUAAACUUAAACCUACACCAUCCUCCCUAUUCUGGUAUUCUAAACAGUACCCGAAAGUAGACUGCUUGGUCGAGUUAACCUCCUGAACUAUCUACAACACAUGGUGAAAACCUGAAAUUAAGACAGAGAAGACUAGAGGUGAGACAUGAUCAUUACUGAAUACUGAUGACAGAUUUAGAUAUAUUUUCAUAAACCAUUCAUUUGCCACAUCAACAAACAGCAUGGCAGGGCAAAAUAUUUUUUCUAACAUGGCAACCUUUAAAAAGUGAAAGGAGACAGAAAGACAGGUGAGAAAGAAUAAAACUUAAUUGACUUUUUGAUGGCAUUUUACACACAGUACUGGUACAGUAUCUAGAAAAUGUGGGAAAAUACUGGCAUCUUAUACAAUACAGUACACUACUUCUGAAGAAAUUAUGAUGGGACCAUAAAAUAAAUUACUAUGUACAAUAAUGGAUUUCUAUAUAUUUUACAUCAGAUGAAAACGUUUGUUGUAAGAUUCAGAUAAUUAUUUGUUAAAAGCGAGACAUUUUAAAUGAGAAUAAGAAAAUAUUUCUUUGUGCCCCCUCUCCCUGUUAAUGCCCUACCUGGGCCCCUGGCAAAACUUUGCUAGAUCCGCCCCUGCACAGUUACCAGCAGUCAGCUGCUUAGAAAAGGAUCCUGGUGUUAUUUGUCAGAAACCGUUCAUAACUUCCCUUCAACUCAUUUAUGUCACCUAAAAGGUAAACCUGUUUCUCCAUCACCUGUUCAGCUCUGAUGAUUCAGUAAGGACAUCUCCUGGUUUCAUCUUCAUGUUUCCCUCUCACCAGAUAACCAAACCGACAUCAUGACCAGCUGCUUUUGCAGCUGUGGCUCCAGCAAACAUCAGCUGAUACUAGAAAGUAAUAUUACAUAAAUUCUAACAACAGCUGAUCAAGCUUAAACGUGCUGCCGUUGUUUAGCGCGACAUCCGCUGUUUUCCCCUUUCUGGCACAGAGUGAGCGAUAAACAAACAAGAGAGAAAACCCAAUCAGCUGAUCAUUGAUCAGUUUCAUGAUUGAAGUAGCAACAGGAGAGAGAGGGGAGAGAAUGAGAGAAGAAGAGGCAGCUGUGCAGCAAAGACACAGAAAAACUCCAGCUUUGUGUCUUUUUCAUUGUAGCUGAAGUUCGAGACAAACUGCUCCUUUUCAGCUCAAUACGAAACGCGUGAUAUUUUCUCUGAAUACCAGACGAUUCCGUUUUUUUACAGGAGGGUUGGAAACUCUAAUAACUAACCUUACAAAUAAAAUAAGAUAAAACAAGUUCAACAUCAAUAAUAUCAAAGCACCCGCCCAGCAGUAUAUAAACGCCGUCAUGCUAGCUAGUACACAGUACGAGUUAUUGCAACUGACUGUAAAAAGUCAGCAUAACGAAAAUAAACUCCACCUAAACUUGGUUUAUAUCUGACCCAGAUAGACUGCAGGUCAUAACUUCUUACCUGAAGUUCAGUUCACCGCCUCUGCGGGUCUCUGCUCCUCCUGCCUUUCCGUCAUCCACCUGCCAGCGUGUUGCAUCUGCUGGCCUCCACCACUUGCUAAUGUUACUGAAUCUGUGGAAGCUCCGCAAUAGCCACCACCAAACAACUGAGUUAUUUUUACACAUCUCCCAGCAUCUGGCCAAUCCACCACCUUUCAGUGUUUAUACCGUUACGGAAAAAACAAAACAAAAAAAACAUCGGCCCAUAAAAACAAAAAAAUCACCAUCGGCCCACCAGGCAAAUGCCCGGUAUGCCCGAUGGCCAGUCCAGCUAUGCAUGCGGUGCUAUGAAAAGGUAUUUGCACUCUUGCUGAUUUUGUUUUUUGCAUAUUUGUCAGCCUUACUUCAGAUCAUUGAACACAUUUUAUUAUUAUACAAAGAUGCUAAUAGAAUAAAUUAACAAAAGUUAAAUACAAAUAUUUUAUUAAAGGGGAAAAAAUAUCCAAACCUACCUGGUCCCAAGUAAAAAAGGAAUUGCCCCAGCUUUUUAAAUCAUAAAUUAACUUUGAUUAACCACAAAUUUACUAACCAGACCAAGGCCCGAUUACUGCCUACUGAAUCAAGAAAACUACUGCUGACCAAAAAAAAAAGCCUCAUCACAUAUUUGCCAAAAACAUGUUGAUGAGCCCCAAGAGUUGUUUUGAAAAUAUUUUUUGGACUGAUGAGAGAAAAUCAGAAAUAUUUGGAAGGUUUGCGUCCCAUCACAUCUGACAAGCUACUAACACAGCACUUCAAUAAAAUUAACAGGCAAACAUAGUUGUGGUAACGUGAUUGUCAGAGCCAAUAAGUGAUAUAGCUAUGAAUGCUCUGGAGCUCAAGCACACUUUGGUUAUGCAGAAUUUGGACAAAGAUCCAAAACACACCCCAACUCCACAUCUGAAUGUCCAAAAAAUUUUAGAGAUUACAAGAUUUUAGAGUUUCCUACUUAAUUUCUAAACUACAAUGUUGGCAUAACUUAAAACAGGCCAGUUAUGCUGAAAACCCCUUCAAUGUGACCAAAUUAAACCAAUACUAAAAAAAAAAAAAGAGGCAAAGAGUUCAUCUGCAUUAAUGCUCUUGACUCAAUCCCAGCUGUUGUCGAUGCUUGAUUUUAAUCUAUGGAAAUUUACCCACAGAGAUGCACAUUAAAAUAACAUGAGUGAUAAUAAUCAUAGCAUCUUUGCUUUGGAUGGUUUAGUUUGCAUCAUUAAUGAGA
ensembl:lncRNA